GUUUUCACUUUUCUUCUGUAAAGGAUACCCUCCAUGCUUUCAAAGCCAGCAGAUUUACACAAAGCCAUCAGCUGAUCCUAAAAACGGUGUUAGGGAACAGAAAGCCUUUCUUUCUAUAUGUAGUCUAUAACAUUUAAGAUAUGUAAGGUAAACGUAGAUUUGGGGCUAAGAACUAAGAAAUACUAUUUUUUUUUCAAGCAGCAGGAAAGUAACUGUAUAAAAAGGAAAUUUCCUCCCAUGUUACAGAGUCUUAUAGCUCUACCUGCAAUUUUUGCUCAUACAGAUGGCAAGCUGCAUACAAAUAUGCCCUUGUGCAUCGGAAAUAACUUUUCUGGCUUGUUUCUCAAUUGGAUAUAUACUUUAUUUUGAGUAAGUGUUAUUUAUUUGUGAGAGGAAGGCACUUUUUAAUUUCAAAUAAACUUUUCACUAAUGUCCUUAUGUGCCUGUUUUAAAUCUUUUCAAAGGGUGUCUGUUAAUGUUGUGAUGUUUUUGUAAACUCUUUAAAAUAAUAAUAAAAAUCCCCGUGAUAAUCACAAAGCCGGGAAAGUGGUGCCUAAUUAUGGCCAGGAUAAACUGCACUUAAUAUCUAUCUGUUGUCAACAAAGCAAUUUGCCAGAUGAUAUCUUUAAAUCCUUUCCUCAAAUUGUUUUUCGUACAAGUUAUUGUAAAUAGUUAUAUUUAAGAGUCCAUUCAAAAGAGCUGAUGGUUUUGCAUUUGCAAAAAAAUAAAAAUCAAUUAGAGGGCUAAAUCCCUGUUCCCCUGAUCAGGAUCUAUUGUGUUUUUUUCACAGUGAUGCCUCCAGGACCACAUUUCCAGCAGCCCGUAGCAGCACGGUUUGGCGAGCAGAGUGUGCUGUUCACCCACAGGAUUGUACGAGCCAGCCUGCCCAGCACCCUGCCAAAGUUAUGGGACUGCUGCCCGGGGCUCCACAUUCCUCUGCCGCCGGCCCUUGCUCUGCAGUAUCAGCAUCAGCUCUGCGAUGGGAGCCAGGAGGACUGUUUGUAACCUAUCAUUGUGAUGAAGUGAAGUUUAAAAUCACAUUGGGACUGUGUUUGGAGACAAUCACAGUGGUCCAAGGAGGAGGCUUAUCCAGGCUGCUCAGACUCAACUCAGCCCAGGCACUUCAUUACUCAUGUUGA
rnacentral:lncRNA from 1 species